rnacentral:rRNA from 1 species
GACGAACGCUGGCGGCGUGCUUAACACAUGCAAGUCGAACGGAAAGGCCCUGCUUUUGUGGGGUGCUCGAGUGGCGAACGGGUGAGUAACACGUGAGUAACCUGCCCUUGACUUUGGGAUAACUUCAUGAAACUGGGGCUAAUACCGGAUAGGAGCUCCUGCUGCAUGGUGGGGGUUGGAAAGUUUCGGCGGUUGGGGAUGGACUCGCGGCUUAUCAGCUUGUUGGUGGGGUAGUGGCUUACCAAGGCUUUGACGGGUAGCCGGGCUGAGAGGGUGACCGGCCACAUUGCGACGGAGAUAAGGCCCGGACUCCUCUGGGAGGCAGCAGUGGGGUAGAUUGCACUAUGGGCGGAAGGCUAAUGCAGCACCGCAGCGUGGGGUAUGAGAGCCUUCGGGUUGUAUUCCGCUUUCGCCUGUGACGAAGCGUGAGUGACGGUAAUGGGUAAAGAAGCACCGGCUAACUACGUG